rnacentral:rRNA from 1 species
CAGUAGCCGCGGUAAUACGUAGGUCCCGAGCGUUGUCCGGAUUUAUUGGGCGUAAAGCGGGCGCAGGCGGUUAGAUAAGUCUGGAGUUAAAGGCAUUGGCUCAACCAAUGUAUGCUUUGGAAACUGUUUGACUUGAGUGCAGAAGGGGAGAGUGGAAUUCCAUGUGUAGCGGAGAAAUGCGUAGAUAUAUGGAGGAACACCGGUGGCGAAAGCGACUCUCUGGUCUGUAACUGACGCUGAGGAGCGAAAGCGUGGGGAGCGAACAGGAUUAGAUACCCCUGUAGUCCCUGUCUCUUAUACC